CCUCUCACCGCGCAAACUACACCGAGACGGGCCGCAUGGAUUCGGCUUGGUUGGAUGUGGCUUGCUCAUCGGCAAGACGUCGAGGUGGACCGUGAUAUGAUUGUGACCCGGGAUGCCACCUUUGGUCUUGUGAGGAAGCAAAGCUCAGGAAGGAGUCCCUUCAGUCCUGUUCUUUUAGCUCCAAGCCUGCUCAGCUUUAAUCCCAGAGGAAGCAGCAGACGGUUUAAGGGGUUUGGGCUCACAGAUGGUGACAGCAUGGAGAGACUGUAGUCCUUCCCCUG